rnacentral:rRNA from 1 species
AUUGAACGCUGGCGGCAGGCCUAACACAUGCAAGUCGAACGAGUGGCGGACGGGUGAGUAAUGGGUGGGAAACUGCCCGAUAGAGGGGGAUAACUACUGGAAACAGAAGCUAAUACCGAAUACCAUAGGAUGCGCCCAGAUGGGAUUAGCUAGUAGGUGGGGUAACGGCUCACCUAGGCGACGAUCCCUAGCUGGUCUGAGAGGAUGACCAGCAAAACUGGGACUGAGACACGGAACGGACUGCUACGGGAUGCAGCAGUGGGGAAUGUUGCAAAACGCGGGCAAGCCUGGUGCAGCCAUGCCGCGUGUAUGAUGGAGGCCUCCGGAUUGUAAAGUACUUUCAGCAUAGACGGGGUGUCCGCCGAAGAAGCACCGGAUAACUCCGUGCCAGCGGCCGCGGUAAUUC